UACGAAGGGUGCAAACGUUGCUCGGAAUUAUUGGGCGUAAAGCGCACGUAGGCGGCUUUGCAAGUCCCAUGUGAAAUCCCACGGCUCAACCGUGGAAGUGCAUGGGAAACUGCAGAGCUUGAGUACUUAAGAGGAUCGCGGAAUUCCCGGUGUAGAGGUGAAAUCCGUAGAUAUCGGGAGGAACACCAGUGGCGAAGGCGGCGAUCUGGGAAGAUACUGACGCUGAGGUGCGAAAGCGUGGGGAGCAAACAGG
rnacentral:rRNA from 1 species